CCUCGGGUGGCUGCAGUGGGGAAUAUUGGACAAUGGGCGAAAGCCUGAUCCAGCCAUGCCGCGUGUGUGAAGAAGGCCUUCGGGUUGUAAAGCACUUUCAGUGGGGAAGAAAGCCUUGGGGCUAAUACCCUCGAGGAAGGACAUCACCCACAGAAGAAGCACCGGCUAACUCCGUGCCAGCAGCCGCGGUAAUACGGAGGGGGCGAGCGUUAAUCGGAAUUACUGGGCGUAAAGCGCGCGUAGGCGGUCUGAUAAGCCGGUUGUGAAAGCCCCGGGCUCAACCUGGGAACGGCAUCCGGAACUGUCAGGCUAGAGUGCAGGAGAGGAAGGUAGAAUUCCCGGUGUAGCGGUGAAAUGCGUAGAGAUCGGGAGGAAUACCAGUGGCGAAGGCGGCCUUCUGGACUGACACUGACGCUGAGGUGCGAAAGCGUGGGUAGCAAACAGGAUUAGAUACCCCUGUAGUC
rnacentral:rRNA from 1 species